UGAAAAUCCUCAGAUUACUUGAAAAUGAAUCUUCACUUGUCCCUUGAUUUGCUAGAGCUAUUGAAAUUGAGCUAAUGGAGCCAAAAUUUUUCUUAGCGGUGUUUCUGUUGAUUUCUUCAACUGUCUCGGCUGAGUACAUCAGACCUCCACCUCGCAAAACCUUGUAUUUCCCAUGGCGUUCGACGCCUUCUUCUCAUCCCCAGCAGGUGCACAUCUCUUUGGCUGGAGACAAGCACAUUCGAGUGUCAUGGGUCACUGAUGAUAAAUCUUGUCUGUCAACUGUUGAAUAUGGAACUUCACCUGGAAGAUACAGUGCUGUGUCUCAUGGGGAGAGCACAUCUUAUAGUUAUCUAUUUUAUAGCUCUGGAAAGAUACACCACACUGUCAUUGGGCCAUUGGAACCCAAUACAGUUUACUUCUACCGAUGUGGAGGACAAGGUCCUGAAUUCCAACUGAAGACUCCUCCAGCUCAGUUGCCAAUUACUUUUGCUGUGGCUGGAGAUUUAGGCCAAACUGGCUGGACUAAAUCAACUCUAGACCAUAUUGACCAAUGUAAAUAUGAUGUGCAUCUGCUCCCUGGAGACCUUUCAUAUGCAGAUUACAUGCAGCACCGCUGGGACACAUUUGGAGAAUUGGUCCAGCCACUUGCUAGUUCAAGGCCAUGGAUGGUGACAGAAGGGAACCAUGAAGAAGAAAGUAUACCAAUAAUUAAGGAUGGAUUUCAAUCCUAUAAUUCUAGAUGGAAGAUGCCCUUUGAGGAGAGUGGUUCAAGUUCAAAUCUUUAUUAUUCUUUUGAAGUUGCAGGGGCCCAUGUUAUUAUGCUUGGUUCCUUUACGGAUUAUGAUGAGUAUUCAGAACAAUAUAACUGGCUCAAGGCUGAUCUAACUAAGUUGGACCGGAAUAAGACACCUUGGUUACUUGUGCUAGUCCAUGUUCCAUGGUAUAAUAGCAACCAUGCUCAUCAAGGUGAAGGGGAUGAGAUGAUGGCAGUUAUAGAGCCAUUACUUUAUGCUGCUGGUGUGGAUAUAGUGCUAGCUGGGCAUGUGCAUGCUUAUGAACGCACGGUACGGUACUAUACUUUCACUACUAGUUAAUUUCACGGGUCUUGGCUUAUGUUAUCUGGUGUUCUGUUUGACAGAAACGUGUAAAUCAGGGAAACUCUGAUGCCUGUGGUACUGUUCAUAUAACCAUUGGAGAUGGAGGAAACAAAGAAGGUUUAGCCCCCAAAUACAUAAAUCCACAGCCAGAAUGGUCAGUCUUCCGGGAGGCAAGUUUUGGUCACGGUGAACUCAAAUUAGUGAAUUCAACUCAUGCUUACUGGACCUGGCACAGAAAUGAUGAUGACGAGCCUGUUAGGUCUGAUCAAGUUUGGAUAACCUCUUUGGUUAGUUCAGGAUGCUUAGAUGGAAAAAGACAGCUAAGGAAGAUUCUAAUGUGACCUUAGAAUGGUUGCAUUUCCACUUCCCACAUUGCUAGAUUACAUCAAUGAGAGUUUAUGCUUUACAGGACAAUGUAAAUAUUUUACAUGCUUAUGUCAACCGAAUAGUUGGUGCUAGAAUUGGUAGACAAUGUAUUUUCAAUUAAAUUGUUGUCUCCAACUGAAUUGGUAAUCAAGCUCUCAACUCGAGUCUGUUCAUGCCUGUUAUCCUGUCAACGGUGUAUGACUGACUGGAAAUAGGCUUUAGUAAGUUUUACGUAUUGCAGCUUUUGUUGUUUUGUACAAGCAACUUAUGUUUUUAUUGAAUGAAUUGAACUUAUCAGACAUUAUGAAAGAUGAACAUUUUGG
rnacentral:misc_RNA from 1 species